rnacentral:lncRNA from 1 species
UCACUUCGUCUCCAACUCGCAACUUCCACCUCUCUUUCCACACCAGUUGGCCGCUCCACGAGGACCAGGAAUUCGUGAGCUACGCCAUCAAUCACGGCGUUCAAUCCCUCCGCCUCCACUGCAAUAACCCACGCACCGAGCUCGAGCUCAGGCAGUUCAGCUGCGGGAUUUAUGUACCUGGACAGUUUCGUUUACCACUCUUGAAAACCUUUUAUCUUGACAGCUAUCUGCUCGUCCAUGGUGGUGAACUGUAUAGAUUUAGUUGAGCAAAGCCCUUGUCCAUUCCCCUACUUGAAAUGUCUGAAAUUGAUCAAACUUCCACGAGCGUAUUGAACUACUUGACAGUGGGAACUUGGUCGUCGAUGGUGUGGAUGUGGUUGAAGAGAAUUCGGAUGACCAAGACGACAGUGAUGAUCAAC